rfam:Corynebacterium sp. HMSC04H06 Corynebacterium_spHMPREF3067-1.0_Cont134.1, whole genome shotgun sequence.
ACUCGGGCACGAUCCCCGCCGCCUAGGCCUGCUUUUUAGGCACCGGCGAUAGUGGGGAACCGACCCGAAGUUUCAACCCUGAGGGA